rnacentral:tRNA from 1 species
GUUGUCGUGGCCAAGUGGUGAAGGCUAUGGACUUGAAAUAUUUUGGGGUUUCCCCAACCAGGUUCAAAUCCUGGCGAUAACG